CAGACUCCUGUUUGGUGAGGUCAGUGCCUACAAAUUCUUGGAAUGAUGCCCCACCAAAGCAAAGCCAUGGACUGGUGCCAACCACAGAGCUCUUGGAAUUAAUACACAAUGCAGAGUCAGCUACUCUAGUUGAGAAUGGCUGAGACAGUGACACGAGUGCUAUCUCGCUGCUACUACAUCUGCUACCAUCUGCACAGGGACGAAAUCAGAAUCAGAAUCAUCUUUAUUUUGCCAAGGAUGUUUUGUCAACUGUGCAGAAUGCACAAGCCUACAGCUAAGAAAGGCCCAGGAAGGUGAGCUGUUGAGUUUGGAGCAAACAUUUUCGGAAAAGACUACUUGGAACCACCAGCAUAUCACCACAGAGCACCACAAGGACCAAGCAUCUCUCUCACUCGCUUUUCGACGAAUCAUUUAUUUAAGUUAGCCAUUAUAUUUUUAUGAAGAAGACAAAGCACGGCGGCAGCCGUGGCCCAAUGGUUAAGAUCAUCACUUGCCACCAUGGACGACCUAGGUUCAAGAUCCCAACCUGACCA